rnacentral:rRNA from 1 species
AGGGCUUGACAUACUACAGAUCUUCUUGAGAAAGAAGAGUGCCUUCGGGAAUGUAGAUACAGGUGGUGCAUGGCUGUCGUCAGCUCGUGUCGUGAGAUGUUGGGUUAAGUCCCGCAACGAGCGCAACCCUCGUUUUUAGUUGCCAAUUUAUUGGGAUCUCUAGAAAGACUGCCGGUGACAAACCGGAGGAAGGUGAGGAUGACGUCAAGUCAGCAUGCCCCUUAUGUCCUGGGCCACACACGUGCUACAAUGGUAAAGACAAAGAGUCGCCAAUUCGCGAGAAUGAGCUAAUCUCAUAAACUUUAUCUAAGUUCGGAUUGUAGGCUGCAACUCGCCUACAUGAAGUUGGAAUCGCUAGUAAUCGCAGGUCAGCUAUACUG